rnacentral:rRNA from 1 species
UACGUAGGUGGCGAGCGUUGUCCGGAUUUACUGGGCGUAAAGAGCGCGCAGGCGGUCGUACAAGUCGCGUGUGAAAGCCCCCGGCUUAACUGGGGAGGGUCACGCGAUACUGUUCGACUCGAAGGCAGGAGAGGGAAGCGGAAUUCCCGGUGUAGUGGUGAAAUGCGUAGAUAUCGGGAGGAACACCAGUGGCGAAGGCGGCUUCCUGGCCUGUUCUUGACGCUGAGGCGCGAAAGCUAGGGCAGCAAACGGGG